rnacentral:rRNA from 1 species
GACGAACCGUCCUAACGUUGUUCGGAAUCACUGGGCUUAAAGGGCGCGUAGGCGGGCGAUCAAGUCCAGGGUGAAAUCUUUCGGCUUAACCGGAAAAUAGCCUUGGAUACUGAUAGUCUCGAGGGAGGCAGGGGCCGUUGGAACUUCCGGUGGAGCGGUGAAAUGCGUUGAUAUCGGAAGGAACGCCGGUGGCGAAAGCGAACGGCUGGACCUCUUCUGACGCUGAGGCGCGAAAGCCAGGGGAGCAAACGGG